rnacentral:rRNA from 1 species
UACGUAGGGCGCAAGCGUUGUCCGGAAUUAUUGGGCGUAAAGAGCUCGUAGGCGGUCUGUCGCGUCUGCUGUGAAAUCCCGAGGCUCAACCUCGGGCUUGCAGUGGGUACGGGCAGACUAGAGUGCGGUAGGGGAGAAUGGAAUUCCUGGUGUAGCGGUGGAAUGCGCAGAUAUCAGGAGGAACACCGAUGGCGAAGGCAGUUCUCUGGGCCGUAACUGACGCUGAGGAGCGAAAGCGUGGGGAGCGAACAGGAUUAGAUA